rnacentral:lncRNA from 1 species
UUUUUUUUUACGACAUUAUGGCCUACUUUUCAAUAUGACCAUGUCUUAAUAUCAAGUGUAUCAAAUCUAAUCCUAUGGUUUAUUGUGGGCAACCCCAGUUGGUCUGCUCUGAGCUUUUUCCUCCCUUCUCAGUGAAUGGAAGUUAUACUUAUGCCCGGCUGGUGGUUUGAAUCACCUCAAUUUGUUCUGGCAAUCAGAGGCAGCUGCUUCAUGUGAAAGGCAUGAGGACCACUGAACAUCACAUUAGGACUGACCUCAAGCUGAAUGUAAAAGGCUCAGACCUGACGUCCUGUUGAAAAGGGUAAAAUAAAAGAUCUCAGCUGAAGGGAGUAUGGCCAUGUUGCCUCAGACCCACUUGAGUCUUUUGUGGUUUCUGUCAGUAUGAG